UUUAUAUUUCUUUUAUUAUAA
rnacentral:tRNA from 1 species